GAUGAACGCUGGCGGCGUGCCUAAUACAUGCAAGUCGAGCGAACGGACGAGAAGCUUGCUUUUCUGAUGUUGGCGGCGGACGGGUGAGUAACACGUGGAUAACCUACCUAUAAGACUGGGAUAACUUCGGGAAACCGGAGCUAAUACCGGAUAAUAUUUUGAACCGCAUGGUUCAAAAGUGAAAGACGGUCUUGCUGUCACUUAUAGAUGGAUCCGCGCUGCAUUAGCUAGUUGGUAAGGUAACGGCUUACCAAGGCAACGAUGCAUAGCCGACCUGAGGGGGUGAUCGGCCACACUGGAACUGAGACACGGUCCAGACUCCUACGGGAGGCAGCAGUAGGGAAUCUUCCGCAAUGGGCGAAAGCCUGACGGAGCAACGCCGCGUGAGUGAUGAAGGUCUUCGGAUCGUAAAACUCUGUUAUUAGGGAAGAACAUAUGUGUAAGUAACUGUGCACAUCUCGACGGUACCUAAUCAGAAAGCCACGGCUAACUACGUG
rnacentral:rRNA from 1 species